GAGUUUGAUCAUGGCUCAGGAUGAACGCUGACAGAAUGCUUAACACAUGCAAGUCUUUGGCGAAUCUGUGCUUGCACAGGCUAGCCAAGGCGGACGGGUGAGUAACGCGUAAAGAACUUGCCCUGCAGACAGGGAUAACAGACGGAAACGACUGAUAACACCUGAUACAAUUGCCGGCACGCAUGUGCCUGGCAAUGAAAAGAGAUGCUGCGGGAGAGCUUUGCGUCCUAUUAGCUUGUUGGUGGGGUAAUGGCCUACCAAGGCGUCGACGGGUAGCCGGCCUGAGAGGGUGGACGGCCACAUUGGGACUGAGAUACGGCCCAGACUCCUACGGGAGGCAGCAGUGGGGAAUAUUGCACAAUGGGCGCAAGCCUGAUGCAGCGACGCCGCGUGGGGGAUGACGGCCUUCGGGUUGUAAACUCCUUUCGUUAGGGACGAAGCCGCACCUGUUUUGGGUGUGGUGACGGUACCUUUGUUAAGAAGCACCGGCUAACUACGUGCCAGCAGCCGCGGUAAUACGUAGGGUGCGAGCGUUGUCCGGAAUUACUGGGCGUAAAGAGCUCGUAGGUGGUUUGUUGCGUCGUCUGUGAAAUUCCGGGGCUUAACUUCGGGGUGGCAGGCGAUACGGGCAUAACUAGAGUGCUGUAGGGGAGACUGGAAUUCCUGGUGUAGCGGUGGAAUGCGCAGAUAUCAGGAGGAACACCGAUGGCGAAGGCAGGUCUCUGGGCAGUAACUGACGCUGAGGAGCGAAAGCAUGGGGAGCGAACAGGAUUAGAUACCCUGGUAGUCCAUGCUGUAAACGGUGGGCGUUAGGUGUGGGGACCGGUUUGGUUUCUGUGCCGUAGCUAACGCAUUAAGCGCCCCGCCUGGGGAGUACGGCCGCAAGGCUAAAACUCAAAGGAAUUGACGGGGGCCCGCACAAGCGGCGGAGCAUGUGGAUUAAUUCGAUGCAACGCGAAGAACCUUACCUGGGUUUGACAUGCACCAGACGGUUGUAGAGAUACGUACCUCCCUUUGUGGUUGGUGUGCAGGUGGUGCAUGGUUGUCGUCAGCUCGUGUCGUGAGAUGUUGGGUUAAGUCCCGCAACGAGCGCAACCCUUGUCUUAUGUUGCCAGCACUUUGGGUGGGGACUCAUGAGAGACUGCCGGGGUUAACUCGGAGGAAGGUGGGGAUGACGUCAAAUCAUCAUGCCCUUUAUGCCCAGGGCUUCACACAUGCUACAAUGGUUAGUACAACGCGCAGCAAACCUGUGAGGGUGAGCGAAUCGCUGAAAGCUAAUCUCAGUUCGGAUUGGGGUCUGCAACUCGACCCCAUGAAGUCGGAGUCGCUAGUAAUCGCAGAUCAGCAAUGCUGCGGUGAAUACGUUCCCGGGCCUUGUACACACCGCCCGUC
rnacentral:rRNA from 1 species